rnacentral:rRNA from 1 species
UACAGAGGUCUCAAGCGUUGUUCGGAUUCAUUGGGCGUAAAGGGUGCGUAGGUGGCAUGGUAAGUCGGAUGUGAAAUCCCGGGGCUCAACCCCGGAACUACAUUCGAUACUGCUGCGCUAGAGUACUGGAGAGGAGAUUGGAAUUUACGGUGUAGCAGUGAAAUGCGUAGAUAUCGUAAGGAAGACCAGUGGCGAAGGCGGAUCUCUGGACAGUUACUGACACUGAGGCACGAAGGCCAGGGGAGCAAACGGG